GUGGCGAACGGGUGAGUAAUACGUAAGCAACCUGCCCCACAGCGGGGGAUAACAGUGGGAAACUACUGCUAAUACCCCAUAGGAGUAGAAGGGCAUCCUUCUUCCUUUAAAGAUGCGUCUGCAUCACUGUGGGAUGGGCUUACGCUGUAUUAGUUAGUUGGUGAGGUAACGGCUCACCAAGACGAUGAUACAUAGCCGGCCUGAGAGGGUGGACGGCCACAUUGGGACUGAGACACGGCCCAAACUCCUACGGGAGGCAGCAGU
rnacentral:ncRNA from 1 species